rnacentral:rRNA from 1 species
UACGAAGGGGGCUAGCGUUGUUCGGAAUUGCUGGGCGUAAAGCGCGUGUAGGCGGGUCCUUAAGUCAGGGGUGAAAUGCCAAGGCUCAACCUUGGAACUGCCUUUGAUACUGGGGAUCUUGAGUCCGGGAGAGGUGAGUGGAACUGCGAGUGUAGAGGUGAAAAUUCGUAGAUAUUCGCAAGAACACCAGUGGCGAAGGCGGCUCACUGGCCCGGUACUGACGCUGAGUAUGCGAAAGCG